UAUAUGCAACCUGCUCUAGUUAAGCCGGCCGUACAGUAUAUAUAUGUGCGUCACGUGGCACACGCUUCAGUCUGCAGUAAGAAGAGUGAACAAUUCAUUUUAUAACUGACCACUGUCCAGUAUGGAGCAUACGACAUCUCUACUGGUCCUAGUUCUUCAUAUACUACGUAGUUUGGCUGAUCCGUUAGAGGACUCCAAUAAUGCUAAGUCCUCGGUACAGAACGGGAAGAGAGCUGUAGAAGACCUUUUCGAUUUCAAUCUCCUAGAGUACACACCUCCU
rnacentral:sRNA from 1 species